GAGAUAUUUCAACAUCGAAGACAAUCCCGUAGGGUGGGAAUUUUUAUUUGGAUACCAGGGAAAGUUCAAGCAUUCUCUUCGGGAGUGGAGACAUGAGAUAAAGAAGAAAUGCUUUGAUUGUUUCACUCACAACUGGGAGAGGAUAUACAAGCGAGAUAAGAGGGUUGAGCCUGAGCACUUAGCUGCACUUAUAAUAUUGUGGGGCCAAGAGGAGCACCAGGAAAAAUGUAGGAGAAAUAAACUUAAUCGAUGGAAAAAAGAUUACGAUCAUCAUACGGGGACUACUUCAUUUGCCCAGAUUGAGGAUCAAUUUUGUAGGACAACGAACGCUCCCUUUAUCCCACUACCAGAACUGCACAGGAGAACGAUGGUUCAAUUUAAGAAGGGGUACGAUGAGGAUGAGACUAAGAAACAAAAGCUAGAA